AUUGAACGCUGGCGGCAGGCCUAACACAUGCAAGUCGAACGAGUGGCGGACGGGUGAGUAAUGUCUGGGAAACUGCCUGAUGGAGGGGGAUAACUACUGAACACGGGCGCUAACACCGCAUACCAUCAGAUGUGCCCAGAUGGGAUUAGCUAGUAGGUGGGGUAAAGGCUCACCUAGGCGACGAUCCCUAGCUGGUCUGAGAGGAUGACCAGCCACACUGGAACUGAGACACGGCCCAGACUCCUACGGGAGGCAGCAGUGGGGAAUAUUGCACAAUGGGCGCAAGCCUGAUGCAGCCAUGCCGCGUGUAUGAAGAAGGCCUUCGGGUUGUAAAGUACUUUCAGCGGGGAGGCGUUACCCGCAGAAGAAGCACCGGCUAACUCCGUGCCAGCAGCCGCGGUAAUUC
rnacentral:rRNA from 1 species